rnacentral:rRNA from 1 species
AACGAACGCUGGCGGCGUGCCUAACACAUGCAAGUCGAACGGGAUCCAGAGCUUGCUCUGGUGAGAGUGGCGCACGGGUGAGUAACGCGUAGAUAAUCCACCUGAUGAUUCGGGAUAACACUUCGAAAGGGGUGCUAAUACCGGAUAAGCCCACGGGGUCUUUGGACUCUGCGGGAAAAGGGGGGGACCUUCGGGCCCUCCGUCAUCAGAUGAGUCUGCGUACCAUUUGCUAGUUGGUAGGGUAAAGGCCUACCAAGGCGACGAUGGUUAGAUGGUCUGAGAGGAUGGUCAGCCACACUGGAACUGAGACAAGGUCCAGACUCCUACGGGAGGCAGCAGUGGGAAUUUUGCGCAAUGGGGGAAACCCUGACGCAGCAACGCCGCGUGAGUGAUGAAGGCCCUUGGGUCGUAAAGCUCUGACAGAGGGAAAGAAGUGCAGGGGAGCUAACAUCCCUCUUGCUUGACGGUACCCUCAAAGGAAGCACCGGCUAACUCCGUGCCAGCCGCCGCCGUAAGAC